rnacentral:rRNA from 1 species
AUGGCCGAAUCCACGGAAUGCGUUAUUUGCCAUGCUGCAGUGGACUCAUGGCGCCAUGCGUUAUUGGAUUGUCAUAUGGCACGUUGUGUCUGGGCACUCGCUGAUGAGGACAUCACAGAAACAAUCAUAUCCAACCGGACCGAAGAUGCCAAGCUUUGGAUGUUUUGGCUGAUUGACACACUACCUACGGAGUCCCUUGCACGCGUACUGGUAACGUUGUGGGCGAUCUGGUGGGCUAGGCGCAAAGCUAUCCACGACACCCAGUUUCAAAGUCCCCUCAGCAUGCAUGUUUUUGUUCAGAAGUUCAUGGCGGAGCUGGACCAAAUCCCAGAGAAAGGGGCGCGUACUAGGGAUCUGCAUGCGUCAUCAAAGGACCUGCAUGUGACGCCUAGGGGCCUGCAUGCAACACCCAGGGACCGGUCUGUAAUAUCCAGAGUGCCUGCGGAGCAGCCAGUCCCUUUGCCAUGGCUGCCACCAGAAUCCCAUGAUGUCAAGAUAAAUGCAGAUGGGGGCUUCUCUAAGAUCGGUGACAAGGGCGCCUCGGCCGUCGUGUGCCGAGACAAGAAUGGAGGCUACCUCGGUGCUUCUGCCAUUAUUUCUGAAGGUUGUCUGGAUCCAGCGAUUCUCGAGGCGCGGGCGUGCAGCGAGGCACUAGCCCUCGCGAUGGACUUAAACGAGCGCUCUGUUUGUGUCGCAUCAGAUUGCCAGGAGGUGGUGACACGAAUUGCUGACGAUGCCCCGUGCAAGUUCUUUCCAAUCCUACAAGAUAUCAAGCAUCAAAGGAGGUCUUUUAAUAAUGUUGAAUUUAUUUAUGAGAGUAGGAAACACAAUGGAGAGGCUCAUGCCCUAGCUAAGGCUGCGGCCUCUCUCCCUCCCAGGCGCCACGUGUGGCUAGCUAUUCUGCCCGAUAUUAUCUGUAUUCCGAGGUUUUUGAACGUGCAAUAA